GACGAACGCUGGCGGCGUGCUUAACACAUGCAAGUCGAACGGAAAGGCCCUGCUUUUGUGGGGUGCUCGAGUGGCGAACGGGUGAGUAACACGUGAGUAACCUGCCCUUGACUUUGGGAUAACUUCAGGAAACUGGGGCUAAUACCGGAUAGGAGCUCCUGCUGCAUGGUGGGGGUUGGAAAGUUUCGGCGGUUGGGGAUGGACUCGCGGCUUAUCAGCUUGUUGGUGGGGUAGUGGCUUACCAAGGCUUUGACGGGUAGCCGGCCUGAGAGGGUGACCGGCCACAUUGGGACUGAGAUACGACCCAGACUCCUACGGGAGGCAGCAGUGGGGAAUAUUGCAUAAUGGGCGGAAGCCUGAUGCAGCAACGCCGCGUGCGGGAUGACGGCCUUCGGGUUGUAAACCGCUUUCGCCUGUGACGAAGCGUGAGUGACGGUAAUGGGUAAAGAAGCACCGGCUAACUACGUG
rnacentral:rRNA from 1 species